rnacentral:rRNA from 1 species
GAUAUGUUGGUUCAAGCCUGUAGUCGUGCCUGGUAGGUAAAUCCGCCGGGCUUAGAUGAGGGGUGAUAACGAGGCUGCUUGCAGUCGAAGUGAGUGAUACCCUGCUUCCAGGAAAAGCCACUAAGCUUCAGCUACACACGACCGUACCGCAAACCGACACUGGUGCGCGAGAUGAGUAUUCUAAGGCGCUUGAGAGAACUCAGGAGAAGGAACUCGGCAAAUUGACACCGUAACUUCGGAAGAAGGUGUGCCUUUAGUAGGUGAACCUGUACAAGGGGAGCCCAAUGAGGUUGCAAAAAAUCGGUGGCUGCGACUGUUUAAUAAAAACACAGCACUCUGCAAACACGAAAGUGGACGUAUAGGGUGUGACGCCUGCCCGGUGCUGGAAGAUUAAAUGAUGGGGUGCAAGCUCUUGAUUGAAGUCCCAGUAAACGGCGGCCGUAACAAUAACGGUCCUAAGGUAGCGAAAUUCCUUGUCGGGUAAGUUCCGACCUGCACGAAUGGCGUAACGAUGGCCACACUGUCUCCUCCUGAGACUCAGCGAAGUUGAAAUGUUUGUGAUGAUGCAAUCUCCCCGCGGAAAGACGGAAAGACCCCAUGAACCUUUACUGUAGCUUUGUAUUGGACUUUGAACAGAUCUGUGUAGGAUAGGUGGGAGGCUUUGAAGUGUGGUCGCUAGAUCGCAUGGAGCCAACGUUGAAAUACCACCCUGGUGUGUUUGAGGUUCUAACCUAGGCCCGUAAUCCGGGUCGGGGACAGUGCAUGGUAGGCAGUUUGACUGGGGCGGUCUCCUCCCAAAGCGUAACGGAGGAGUUCGAAGGUACGCUAGGUACGGUCGGACAUCGUGCUAAUAGUGCAAUGGCAUAAGCGUGCUUAACUGCGAGACUGACAAGUCGAGCAGAUGCGAAAGCAGGACAUAGUGAUCCGGUGGUUCUGUAUGGAAGGGCCAUCGCUCAACGGAUAAAAGGUACUCUGGGGAUAACAGGCUGAUACCGCCCAAGAGUUCAUAUCGACGGCGGUGUUUGGCACCUCGAUGUCGGCUCAUCUCAUCCUGGGGCUGUAGCCGGUCCCAAGGGUAUGGCUGUUCGCCAUUUAAAGAGGUACGUGAGCUGGGUUUAAAACGUCGUGAGACAGUUUGGUCCCUAUCUUCCGUGGGCGCUGCAGAUUUGAGGAAGCCUGCUCCUAGUACGAGAGGACCGGAGUGGACACACCUCUGGUGUAUCGGUUGUCACGCCAGUGGCAUUGCCGAGUAGCUAUGUGUGGAAGAGAUAACCGCUGAAAGCAUCUAAGCGGGAAACUCGUUUCAAGAUGAGAUCUGCCGGGGCCUUGAGCCCCCUAAAGAGUCGUUCAAGACCAGGACGUUGAUAGGUCGGGUGUGGAAGCGCAGUAAUGCGUUAAGCUAACCGAUACUAAUUGCUCGUGCGGCUUGACC